GACGAACGCUGGCGGCGUGCUUAACACAUGCAAGUCGAACGAUAUUCAUUAGAAGAUUUUUUUCGGAAUGAUUCUUUUGAUGAAAGUGGCGAACGGGUGAGUAACGCGUGGGCAACCUGCCUCAAACAGGGGGACAACACCGGGAAACUGGUGCUAAUACCGCAUAAGACAACAGCAAGGCAUCUUGCAGUUGGAAAAGGAGUUAAAUCCAGUUUGAGAUGGGCCCGCGUCUGAUUAGCUAGUUGGUAAGGUAACGGCUUACCAAGGCGAUGAUCAGUAGCCGAACUGAGAGGUUGAUCGGCCACAUUGGGACUGAGACACGGCCCAAACUCCUACGGGAGGCAGCAGUGGGGAAUAUUGCACAAUGGGGGAAACCCUGAUGCAGCAACGCCGCGUGAAGGAUGAAGGCCCUUGGGUUGUAAACUUCUUUGAUCAGGGAAGAAAGAAAUGACGGUACCUGAAUAACAAGCCACGGCUAACUACGUG
rnacentral:rRNA from 1 species